GAUGAAGAACGCAGCGAAAUGCGAUAAGUAAUGCGAAUUGCAGAAUCCGUGAAUCAUCGAAUCUUUGAACGCACAUUGCGCCCCUUGGUAUCCCGAGGGGCAUGCCUGUUCGAGCGUCAUUUCACCACUCAAGCCUGGCUUGGUGUUGGGCGACGUCCUCUUUGGGGACGCGCCUCGAAACGCUCGGCGGCGUGGCACCGGCUUUAAGCGUAGCAGAAUCUUUCGCUUUGGAAGUCGGGGCCCCGUCUGCCGGAAGACCUGCUCGCAAGGUUGACCUCGGAUCAGGCAGGGAUACCCGCUGAACUUAAGCAUAUCAAUAAGCGGAGGA
rnacentral:misc_RNA from 1 species